rnacentral:rRNA from 1 species
AGAGUUUGAUCAUGGCUCAGGACAAACGCUGGCGGGGUGCGUGAGACAUGCAAGUCGAACGGGGUUGAUCGGGCUUGCUCGAUCAACCUAGUGGCGGACGGCUGAGUAACGCGUAGGUGACCUGCCCGGAGGUGGGGAAUAACUGCCCGAAAGGGUGGCUAAUACCGCAUGUGGUCGGCGAAUCGGAUCGCCGUCCAAAGCCGAAAGGCGCUUCCGGAGGGGCCUGCGUCCGAUUAGCUAGUUGGCGAGGUAACGGCUCACCAAGGCGACGAUCGGUAGCUGGUCUGAGAGGAUGAUCAGCCAGACUGGGACUGAGAACGGCCCAGACUCCUACGGGAGGCAGCAGUCGGGAAUUUUGCCCAAUGGACGAAAGUCUGAGGCAGCAACUCCGCGUGAGGGAUGAAGGCCUUCGGGUCGUAAACCUCUUUUCCCAGGGAAGAUCCAAGACGGUACCUGGGGAAUAAGCCACGGCUAACUACGUGCCAGCAGCCGCGGUAAUACGUAGGUGGCAAGCGUUGUCCGGAUUUACUGGGCGUAAAGCGCGCGCAGGCGGCUGGCCAAGUCCGAUGUGAAAGCUUCCGGCUUAACUGGAAAACGGCAUCGGAUACUGGUCGGCUGGAAGGUGGGAGAGGGUAGCGGAAUUCCCGGUGUAGUGGUGAAAUGCGUAGAUAUCGGGAGGAACACCAGUGGCGAAAGCGGC